GCAGAAUAAGAACAUUGUGACUGCUUCCUUCAUGCAAGGGAAGAGGAAGUACUGAAAUUGUUCCAUGGAUGGCUAUCAUCACUCCAGACCUCCCAGCUAGCUAUCAUGCUAGGAUUUUGGGAGGAAAGAGAGAGCUGAGGGGAAUAGGAGAGGAGGAAGAAAGGGAGCUGGGUAGAUGAUUUCAUCAGUUUGGAAGUAGCAGAGCAGUAUUGAAUGAGGAUGUGAGUCUGCUUAUCCUCUCUCUUUCCUUCUUGCUCUCCUCUCUUUUUUUCUUCCCUUUUCCCCUCCCCACUCUCUUCCUCCCAAUUAAAUACUAACAUUUAUUUUAACCAACAUGUCAUUUAUUCUCCCCAGAAGCCCAUCCUGAAGGCCAAACUUCUGUUCCAAUCUGAGAGAUCUCCAUUUUUAUGCAAUUGCCUCCCCAUCCUUGACUGAGAUCUCAAGCUUUUUUAAAGGAGAAAUCCUUUCCUUUCCUAGUGUUCUAGAGAUGAUUCAUCUCUUCUGUUCCCCUGGAGGGCCAAAGUCCUUCACAUUUCAGGUCAAUGAAAUGGGUGCCAAUGGCUACGUCGUUGACCUUGUCCGAAUCCCGGAUCUGCACCUUCAUGCGUUUGCAGAGUGGAGGGAACAGAUAGGAAAGCCUAGGAUGAGGAGGAGAGGGGUGCUACGUGCUAUGGGUCACCUCCAGGACAUUGGCUGAGGCACCUGAGAAACCUUGGGGAACCUUGGAACAGACGAUGGCUAUCUGGGACUGCUGAAGUAGAAGGGAUGUCAUGGGAGGUAAGACAGAUAAACACUCUGGGGCCAUAAUCUGGGGGAAAUAUGUUUCUGCUGGAUUACAAGCAGUUGGAAAGGAAGGACUGGAAUCAGGGAACCCCUGGGGAUUGGGAUGAGAUGGGAAU